rfam:Ornithorhynchus anatinus chromosome 5, whole genome shotgun sequence.
AGUAGCGUGGCUUAGUGGUUAGAGCACAGGCCUGGGAGUCAGAAGGACCUGGAUUCUAAUCCCAGCUCUGCCA